GUGGGGAAUAUUGGGCAAUGGGGGAAACCCUGACCCAGCGACGCCGCGUGAGGGAAGACGGCCUUCGGGUUGUAAACCUCUUUUGUACGGGAAGAAGGAAGUGACGGUACUGUACGAAUAAGUCCCGGCUAACUACGUGCCAGCAGCCGCGGUAAUACGUAGGGGACGAGCGUUGUCCGGAAUUACUGGGCGUAAAGGGCGCGCAGGCUGUGCUGCAAGUCAGCUGUGAAAUGUCUGGGCUUAACCCGGGCAUGCGGUUGAGACUGCAGUGCUGGAGUGCUGUAGAGGCAAGUGGAAUUCCCAGUGUAGCGGUGAAAUGCGUAGAUAUUGGGAAGAACACCGGUGGCGAAGGCGACUUGCUGGGCAGCAACUGACGCUGAGGCGCGAAAGCCAGGGGAGCAAACGGGAUUAGAUACCCCUGUAGUCC
rnacentral:rRNA from 1 species